UACAGAGGUCCCAAGCGUUGUUCGGAUUCAUUGGGCGUAAAGGGUGCGUAGGUGGCAUGGUAAGUCGGGUGUGAAAUCCCGGGACUCAACCCCGGAACUGCACUCGAUACUGCCGUGCUCGAGUACUGGAGAGGAGACUGGAAUUUACGGUGUAGCAGUGAAAUGCGUAGAUAUCGUAAGGAAGACCGGUGGCGAAGGCUAGUCUCUGGACAGUUACUGACACUGAGGCACGAAGGCCAGGGGAGCAAACGGG
rnacentral:rRNA from 1 species